rnacentral:rRNA from 1 species
AGAGUUUGAUCCUGGCUCAGGAUGAACGCUAGCUACAGGCCUAACACAUGCAAGUCGAGGGGCAGCAUGGGCUUAGCUUGCUAAGCCUGAUGGCGACCGGCGCACGGGUGAGUAACGCGUAUCCGACCUUCCGGCGGCCCGGGUCCAGCCUUUCGAAAGAAAGAUUAAUCCCCGAUGGUGUCAGGCAGUUCCAUGACAGCCUGACUAAAGAAUUAUCGGCCGCCGAUGGGGAUGCGUUCCAUUAGCUUGUUGGCGGGGUAACGGCCCACCAAGGCGACGAUGGAUAGGGGUUCUGAGAGGAAGGCCCCCCACAUUGGGACUGAGACACGGCCCAAACUCCUACGGGAGGCAGCAGUGAGGAAUAUUGGUCAAUGGGCGCGAGCCUGAACCAGCCAAGUAGCGUGCAGGACGACGGCCCUAUGGGUUGUAAACUGCUUUUGCGCGGGGAUAACUUCCGCCACGUGUGGCGGCUUGCAGGUACCGCGUGAAUAAGGACCGGCUAAUUCCGUGCCAGCAGCCGCGGUAAUACGGAAGGUCCGGGCGUUAUCCGGAUUCAUUGGGUUUAAAGGGAGCGUAGGCCGCGCGUCAAGCGUGCCGUGAAAUGCCGUGGCUCAACCAUGGCACCGCGGCGCGAACUGUCGCGCUUGAGUGGGCUCGAGGCAGGCGGAAUUCGUGGUGUAGCGGUGAAAUGCUUAGAUAUCACGAGGAACCCCGAUUGCGAAGGCAGCCUGCCAGCGCCGCACUGACGCUGAAGCUCGAAGGCGUGGGUAUCGAACAGGAUUAGAUACCCUGGUAGUCCACGCGGUAAACGAUGGACGCUCGCCGUGGGUCCUAUAUGGUUCCGUGGCCAAGCGAAAGCGUUAAGCGUCCCACCUGGGGAGUACGCCGGCAACGGUGAAACUCAAAGGAAUUGACGGGGGCCCG